GAGGAAUAUUGGUCAAUGGACGAGAGUCUGAACCAGCCAAAUCGCGUGAAGGAAGACUGCCCUACGGGUUGUAAACUUCUUUUGUACAGGAAUAAAAGACAUUACGUGUAAUGUAUUGCAUGUACUGUACGAAUAAGCAUCGGCUAACUCCGUGCCAGCAGCCGCGGUAAUACGGAGGAUCCGAGCGUUAUCCGGAUUUAUUGGGUUUAAAGGGUGCUCAGGCGGGGGAUUAAGUCGGCGGUGAAAUUUUGCAGCUCAACUGUAAAAGUGCCUUCGAAACUGGUUACCUUGAGUGUGGAUGAGGUAGGCGGAAUUUGUGGUGUAGCGGUGAAAUGCAUAGAUAUCACGAGGAACUCCGAUUGCGCAGGCAGCUUACUAAACCAUAACUGACGCUCAAGCACGAAGGCGUGGGGAUCAAACA
rnacentral:rRNA from 1 species